UCCCUGGUGGUCCAGUGGCUAAGAUUCCGCAAUCCCAAUUCAGGGGGCCCAGGUUCAAUCCCUGGUCAGGGAA
rnacentral:tRNA from 1 species